rnacentral:rRNA from 1 species
AGGAUAAACGCUGGCGGCGUGCCUAACACAUGCAAGUCGAACGCGCUUUUUUCGCAAGAGGAGAGCGAGUGGCGGACGGGUGAGUAACACGUGGGAACGCGCCUUGGGGUGGGGAAUAACGCUGAGAAAUCAGUGCUAAUACCGCAUAUGGUCUAACGACUAAAGCAGCAAUGCGCCCCGAGAGCGGCCCGCGACCGAUUAGCUAGUUGGUGGGGUAAUGGCCUACCAAGGCGGUGAUCGGUAGCUGGUCUGAGAGGAUGGUCAGCCACACUGGGACUGCGAACGGCCCAGACUCCUACGGGAGGCAGCAGUUAGGAAUUUUCGGCAAUGGACGAAAGUCUGACCGAGCGACGCCGCGUGGAGGAUGACGCCUUUCGGGGUGUAAACUCCUUUUCUGCGGGAAGAUAAUGACGGUACCGCAGGAAUAAGCACCGGCUAACUACGUGCCAGCAGCCGC